AAAACUAUUAGUUCAGUGAAUGAAUGUGUAUGCAUCAGAAAAAGACCACUGUGAUGCAAUGUACAGAAUGAAUGGGGUAGGGUGGGGCAAUAGCAGAGGCUGGGAGGGAGACCUUUGCAAUCUUCCAGAGCAGGGAUGAUGUCAUCACAUAUGGGCCAAGGUGGUAGAACUGGAGAGGAGUGAGUGGUCUGGAGAGAAAUUUCGGUUUCAUCUGCAGGGUAGGGGCUGUAAAAGAAAGGAGGAGGUGAAGAAUGAUAGAGAUGCCCAAGUUUUUGGCUUAGACAUCUUGGUGGACAGUGGUGCCAAUUAUUGAGAUGGUGAAAGGGGAACAGGCUGAGGAGUUCCCUGGAGACCAAUGCUCAUGGAAGAGGGGCAGGAGGCAGGAAUGGGCAGAGGGAGAAGAUGAGCACAGGCCCGGCAGUGGCCUUGGCCGGCUGGAUGAGGAACUCCAGUGCUGGACACGCCUCUUCUAGAGCUGUCGUGAGUUGGGCUGAUGGCUCAUCCUUCAUCUCCCCCAUCAGUCAGUGCUUGGGUGUAGAGACCCACGCAAGUGGCAUGACCUUGGAUGAGGCAGUUCUUUGCAGUUGAUGCAAUCCCGGAGGGGCUUAGAGCUGGAGGCUAUUUCCCAACAGCAAGCCAGUACCAGGGGCAAC
rnacentral:lncRNA from 10 species